UCGAGAUUGUGCCACUACACUCCAGCCUGGGCAGCAGAGUGGGACCCUGUGUCAAAAAAAAAAAAAAAAUUGGGCCACACUGUUCCGUGCUGUGAGCUGUUGCAGCUCAGUCACAGGAGUGAACCACGACUGUGCGUUUCGUUCCGAGAGGCGCCGGGGCCUCCUCUCCUAGGCACAGCAGCACAGCGGUGAGGGGCACUGCAUCAUCCUCAGUGGCGAGCCAAGCCCGGGGUCCUCCUGGGCUGCAUCUCCUGCCAGCCCCAGCCUCCUCCACACUUUGGCACUCACCAGCCAAGCUGCAAGGGGCACACUGAGGGGCAGACAGGCAGUGCUUCCAUGUUGGCGCCGUGCCCAGCACCUGAUGGAACACAUGACAGAGGACAUGGGCACAGAGGGAGGCCGGGGGCUGAGACCCUGAGCAAGCCAUGAGCAGGCAGUGCCUGAAAGACCCUGUCCCGGGACAGCAGGAGUGCUUCUGGUUUCUCCACUUUUACGUCUUAGACUGAAAUUUGGCAGAAAACGAAGCAGCGCAGGACGUCUGUGAGCCAAGACCCCUCUGAGGACAGGCUGGCUGCUGACUCGCGAGCACAGCGGGAGCAUCCAAGGAGAACCUCCCCGCUGCUGAGUUUGUUUUCUUUGCCAAGUGGAGCUGUGGAAGCCGACGGACCCUCCUGGCCGGCUGCAGUCGGGCAGCGCAGAGCCUGUUGGAAAGCGUUUGUAACACCCACUGAGCGGUGAGACGAGAUGGGCGGCGGCGUGCUCGCCCUUUGUGAAAGGGAACAAAAGUGCUGUAGGAUUCCUGGCCUGGGUGGAGGCCCAUUCACAUGACCCCCAGGGGCUGGGGUCACCCCCUGAGGUCCCCUCUGUGGCUCCUUUCCUGCUCUGGUGGGGCUGGGGGAGGUGGCUUAGCUUCGGCUGCACCCUGCAGGGAGGAGCUGAGAUGCGCCAGCACAUACGUGUACGCACGCGCGCGCAUUCACCAGCUCCUCACCACAAGGGUGCAGCCUCAGCUAAGCACACACACACCCCUACGUGCACACACCUGCACCGACAUACGUACACACACACCCAUGUGCACACACCUGCAUUGACAUACACACGUGCACACACAGACCCAUGUGCACACACCUGCACUGACAUACACACGUGAACACACAGACCCAUGCGCACACACCUGCACUGACAUACACACGUGCGCACACAGACCCAUGCGCACACACCUGCACUGACAUACACACGUGCACACACAGACCCAUGUGCACACACCUGCACUGACAUACACACGUGCACACACAGACCCAUGCGCACACACCUGCACUGACAUACAUGCACACACACAGUUCUAGGAUGACCACCCUCACCAUCUCAAGACUGGCCAUCAGGAGCCACACUCAGAGGCCCGGGGGCCUGAGUGGCCAGCGCCAGCAGGCAGGGGCACGGCAGGGUGGGGGGACCGGCGAGGGCAGCUGGAGUGGAUCAGCCAGGGCCGCUGGAGGAGACCAGGUGCCGCCAGCCCCACAGUGGCGUGAACCUUCCACCCAUGAGGCCGAAUUGCUUGUGAAACUCGGCCCCAGCUCCAGCCUUGCGGAACCAGUGGCCCUCCACCCUCCACAGGGGCAGCUGAACUUCCAAAGGCGAAGGCUGGAAUCCAGUUUUUGGAAUAAUUUCCAGAUGUUUCUGGCGUUAAAGUGCCUCCCGUGAAAUUGGGGGUGCAGCUGGGCUGCAGACCUGGGGUCUCUGGUCUACCCACUGGGCAUAUUUGUCAUCUGGUCUGGCAACCAUACCACUCCAAAGAAUGCUCUCUGCCCUCCAAGGACAGCAGCCAACCAGUGGGAGGCGUAUACUGGGCAGGGGCCCUGAUCUGGCUUAGGGAGGGCCUUGCCUGGCUAGAACAUCCCUUCAGGCCCCAAAGCUUUGGCACAGGCACCUUUGGGAGCCUGAUCCCAGUGGCACCGGGCCGACAAGCACCCUUGGCAGCCCACCCUGCCUGGGUGGACAGACAGAGGCAGCCUGGGACCCACUCACCAUGAGUCCCUCUGGAGUCCUGGCUGCCCCACUGUUAAAGGGGGCACUGAGCACUGCCCUGACCCUGGGCAGCACACUCAUGCCAUGCACACAUUUGCCCACAAAUGGACACACAUUUGCCAUGCACACCACACAUGCCAUGUGUGCACACACUCAUGCAAUACACACUUGCCCACAAAUACACUUGCCAUGCACACCACACAUGCCGUGUGCAUACACACAUGCCAUGCACAUGCUUGCCCACAAUGCACACACAAACAUAUUCCAUGCACACACACACGGGCCCCACAUGUAUGUGCACUCAGGUUUGCACAGACUCAAGUGCAUGGACAUGCCAGUACACGAGUACAUCCCACUCAUGGACACCUGCAUGUGUACACGUACACACACGUACACACACACAUGUAGACGCAAAACCCCAGCCCUCCACACACAGCUACAGCACCAGGUGACAGCCGUGCAGAAAGGGAUUGUGGAGACUCAGAGUCGGAAGCCUGGGGCUGCACCGGGUGUCCCUCACCUGCUGCCAGGGAGGCCCGGCAGGGAAGGGGAGGGCAUGAGCGAGCGGCGGGAAUGCAGAACCUGGGGCGCACAUGGGAGCCAAGGCCCCGCACGCCGAGCCCCCUGACUUGGUAUGGCUGGUGCUGCCCACUUCAGGACACAGGGACCAUUGCCCAGGACCCAGGUCUCCUCAGUGACAGCCCCCAAAAGCUCCAGACCACAGGGCCUCAGUUUCCCCACCUCCCUAGACAGGGGCCCAGUGUCCCUAGGCCAUGAUGACGGGUGUUCCCCAGAACUGUAGUGCCAGCCCUCCCCUCCCUAGGCCCCCAGCCCGUCACUCCCCUGGGCCAGGCGCCCACCCUGCACAGAGCCGGCAGAACAACCACAUUUGCCUGGUGAGCAGUCAUCUGGGAAACUGGAUAUAUUUGCAAUUUUUAAAAAGCUCAGAGCCAACAUGCAAAACGGGGCUGUUUUUCCAGUGGAAAGUGUAACACGAGCCCAGAACCACUCCUGCUCACAGAGGCCCAACCCCACCACCGCAGCCACGCCUGGGGCCAGGCUUCACUCGGGGCCCAGCCUGACCAGCUCCUGUGCCCCGGCCCAGUGUCGGCCACCCCCACACACCUGAAGCCUCAGACCCGUGUGCCAGAGAGGCUCAGGGCAGCUGCCCGGGGCAGACGUGGGCGCAAGGGCCAAGUGGGAGGCACUGAGGACCUCCUGCCAAGGCUGGGUAAGCUCUAUCUCAGGAGCGGUCACUCAACUCAAGGGCAGCUCAGCACAGGCCCCUCUGCUCCAGGUGCCACGGAAAGCCAGCAGCUGAGGGCCAGAGCCUUUCCCUCCACAGGGCCCUUGUGGCCGACACGCCGUGGUCGAAGCCCACAGGAGAAAGGUUGCCUCUGGGGUCUGUGGGCCCGGGUGCCACCCGACGUGGCAGGACCUCAUUGCUCUCACACUCCUGGGGCAGCUGGGAUGGCCGCUGUGAUCUUCUCACCUUGGAGGGGCUGCGCCCACCAGGCAGGGUAAACCUGCCACUGCUCAUCCUGGAAGGAACGGCAUGCCCACCCUGCCACCAGCUUCAGCAAUAAACGCAGAAGACAACAGCCGUGACUGCAGCCUCUCCCCACACCCAGGAAGGGCUUUGGAAGGCAGCGCGCCCCGUGCUGUGUGGAUGUUUGUGGAGAAGAUCAAACAAAUGGUGGCCCUCUGAGACCUCAGCUGCUGGUGCUGGGCAGAACAUCAGAGGCAGCCGGGCGCGGUGGCUCCCACCUGUAAUCCCAGCACUUUCGGAGACCAAGGUGGGCAGAACUUCAGAGGCAGCCGGGCGCGGUGGCUCCCACCUGUAAUCCCAGCACUUUCGGAGACCAAGGUGGGCAGAUCACCGGAGGUCAGCAGUUCAAGAGCAGCCUGGCCAACAUGGCAAAACCCUAUCUCUGCUAAAAAUACAAAAAUUAGCCAGCAUGGUGGUACACGCCUGUAAUCCCAGCAACUCGGGAGGCUGAGGCUGGAGAAUCACUUGAACCCGGGAGGCAGAGGUUGUGGUGAGCCAAGAUUGUGCCACUGCCCUCCAACCUGGGCAAUGGAGCUAGAGUCUGUCUCGAAAAAAAAAUUAAAAAACAGAAUUUCAGAGAA